GGGACCUGUAGAAUCGGGCUACU
rnacentral:miRNA from 1 species